rnacentral:rRNA from 1 species
CGGAACGUGCCCAAUCGUGGGGGAUAGCUCGGCGAAAGCCGGAUUAAUACCGCAUACGAUCUACGGAUGAAAGCAGGGGACUCGCAAGGGCCUUGCGCGAAUGGAGCGGCCGAUGGCAGAUUAGGUAGUUGGUGGGGUAAAGGCUCACCAAGCCGACGAUCUGUAGCUGGUCUGAGAGGACGACCAGCCACACUGGGACUGAGACACGGCCCAGACUCCUACGGGAGGCAGCAGUGGGGAAUUUUGGACAAUGGGCGCAAGCCUGAUCCAGCAAUGCCGCGUGCAGGAUGAAGGCCUUCGGGUUGUAAACUGCUUUUGUACGGAGCGAAAAAGCUCUGGUUAAUACCUGGGGCCCAUGACGGUACCGUAAGAAUAAGCACCGGCUAACUACGUGCCAGCAGCCGCGGUAAUACGUAGGGUGCGAGCGUUAAUCGGAAUUACUGGGCGUAAAGCGUGCGCAGGCGGUGAUGUAAGACAGUUGUGAAAUCCCCGGGCUCAACCUGGGAACUGCAUCUGUGACUGCAUCGCUGGAGUGCGGCAGAGGGGGAUGGAAUUCCGCGU